rnacentral:rRNA from 1 species
AGGACAAACGUUGGCGGUGCGUCUUAGACAUGCAAGUCGAGCGUGAAAGCCCCGCAAGGGGUGAGUAAAGCGGCGAACGGGUGAGUAAUACUUGGGUAACGUACCUCUUAGAUUGGGAUAACGCGCCGAAAGGCGUGCUAAUACCAGAUAUGACCACGAUCCCUUCUGGGGUUGAGGUAAAAGAUGGCGCAAGCUAUCACUAGGAGAUCGGCUCAAGCACCAUUAGCUAGUUGGCGGGGUAAUGGCCCACCAAGGCUACGAUGGUUAGCCGGCCUGAGAGGGUGAUCGGCCACACUGGGACUGAGAUACGGCCCAGACUCCUACGGGAGGCAGCAGUUUGGAAUAUUCCACAAUGGACGCAAGUCUGAUGGAGCGACACCGCGUGAAGGAUGAAGGUCUUCGGAUCGUAAACUUCUUUAGACCUAGAUGAAGGUUGACAAGGUAAAUAAUCUUGCAACUUGACAGUAUAGGUAGAAUAAGCCACGGCU